rnacentral:rRNA from 1 species
GACGAACGCUGGCGGCGCGCCUAACACAUGCAAGUCGAACGGUGAAGAGGAGCUUGCUCCUCGGAACAGUGGCGGACGGGUGAGUAACACGUGAGCAACCUGGCUCUAAGAGGGGGACAACAGUUGGAAACGACUGCUAAUACCGCAUAACGUAUCGGGAUGGCAUCUUCCUGAUACCAAAGAUUUUAUCGCUUAGAGAUGGGCUCGCGUCUGAUUAGAUAGUUGGCGGGGUAACGGCCCACCAAGUCGACGAUCAGUAGCCGGACUGAGAGGUUGAACGGCCACAUUGGGACUGAGACACGGCCCAGACUCCUACGGGAGGCAGCAGUGGGGGAUAUUGGACAAUGGGGGCAACCCUGAUCCAGCGACGCCGCGUGGGGGAAGAAGGUUUUCGGAUUGUAAACCUCUGUUGACGGAGAAAAAAAUGAUGGUAUCCGUUUAGAAAGCCACGGCUAACUACGUG